AAAAAGUUUUAUUUUGGCUAAGCAUAGGCUUUAAUUUUUAUUUAAAUAUGUUAAAUUGUAGAGUAAAAGAGGUAUUAAUUAAAAUUUUUAAAUAUUUUAAUUAUGAAAAAGGGAAAAUUAGAUAAUCGGUAAAAUUUGUGCCAGCAACUGCGGUUAAACAAAUGAUUAGAGUUUAUGAUUUAAAGGUAUAAAUUGCUUGGGGGAGUAAUUUAGCUAUAAAUUUUAAGUGAAAUUUAAUUUGUGGUUAUUCAGUAGUUGGGGGUUUUUUUAAUAAGUUUAAGAAUUAAACUAGGAUUAGAUACCCUAUUAUUUUAAAUUAGUAAAUGUGGUUUGAGUAGUAAAUGAUAUAGGCAGGAAACUUAAAAAAUUUGGCGGUAUUUAUUCGUUUCAGAGGAAUAUGUUUUAAUAAUUCGAUAAUCCACGAUUAUCUUACUGGCAAUAUUACUUUGUAUAUCGCCGUCUAAAAAGGUUUUUAGAAAAUUUACUUUUGGAUUUUUGAUUUAAAUGUAAGUCAGGUCAAGAUGCAGGUUUUGUUAGUUAAAAUGUAUUACAAUUAAGUUAUUAAUGGAUUUAAGCUUGAAAUAGAUAAGGAAAUUGGAUUUGAGUGUAAGUGAUUUAAUUAUAAAUUGCUGAUUUAGGUUCAUAAAUAUGCACAUAUUGCCCGUCACUCUCCGUUUGAAAGGAGAUAAGUCGUAACAAAGUAGAUUUACUGGAAAGUGAAUCUGGCUUG
rnacentral:ncRNA from 1 species